rnacentral:rRNA from 1 species
GGCGAACGGGUGAGUAAUAUAUCGGAACGUACCCAAGAGUGGGGGAUAACGUAGCGAAAGUUACGCUAAUACCGCAUACGAUCUAAGGAUGAAAGCAGGGGACCGCAAGGCCUUGUGCUCCUGGAGCGGCCGAUAUCUGAUUAGCUAGUUGGUGAGGUAAAGGCUCACCAAGGCGACGAUCAGUAGCUGGUCUGAGAGGACGACCAGCCACACUGGAACUGAGACACGGUCCAGACUCCUACGGGAGGCAGCAGUGGGGAAUUUUGGACAAUGGGCGCAAGCCUGAUCCAGCAAUGCCGCGUGAGUGAAGAAGGCCUUCGGGUUGUAAAGCUCUUUUGUCAGGGAAGAAACGGUAGAGGCUAAUAUCCUUUGCUAAUGACGGUACCUGAAGAAUAAGCACCGGCUAACUACGUGCCAGCCGCCGCGG